rnacentral:rRNA from 1 species
CAGCAGUAGCCACGGUAAUACGAAGGGGGCUAGCGUUGUUCGGAAUUACUGGGCGUAAAGCGCACGUAGGCGGACAUUUAAGUCAGGGGUGAAAUCCCGGGGCUCAACCCCGGAACUGCCUUUGAUACUGGGUGUCUAGAGUAUGGAAGAGGUGAGUGGAAUUCCGAGUGUAGAGGUGAAAUUCGUAGAUAUUCGGAGGAACACCAGUGGCGAAGGCGGCUCACUGGUCCAUUACUGACGCUGAGGUGCGAAAGCGUGGGGAGCAAACAGGAUUAGAUACCCCUGUAGUCCCUGUCUCUUAUAC